rnacentral:rRNA from 1 species
CUACGGGCGGCUGCAGUGGGGAAUAUUGCACAAUGGGGGGAACCCUGAUGCAGCAACGCCGCGUGGAGGAUGACACAUUUCGGGGCGUAAACUCCUUUUACAUAAGAAGAUAAUGACGGUAUUAUAUGAAUAAGCACCGGCUAACUCCGUGCCAGCAGCCGCGGUAAUACGGGGGGUGCAAGCGUUACUCGGAAUCACUGGGCGUAAAGAGCAUGUAGGCUGGUUUGUAAGUUGGAAGUGAAAUCCUAUGGCUUAACCAUAGAACUGCUUCCAAAACUACUUACCUAGAGUAUGGGAGAGGUAGAUGGAAUUCCUGGUGUAGGGGUAAAAUCCGUAGAGAUCAGAAGGAAUACCGGUUGCGAGGGCGGUCUACUGGAACAUUACUGACGCUCAGAUGCGAAAGCGUGGGGAGCAAACAGGAUUAGAUACCCUUGUAGUC